rnacentral:rRNA from 1 species
AGUGAACGCUGGCGGUAGGCCUAACACAUGCAAGUCGAACGGCAGCACAGGAGAGCUUGCUCUCUGGGUGGCGAGUGGCGGACGGGUGAGGAAUACAUCGGAAUCUACCUUUUCGUGGGGGAUAACGUAGGGAAACUUACGCUAAUACCGCAUACGGCCUACGGGUGAAAGUGGGGGACCGCAAGGCCUCACGCGAUUAGAUGAGCCGAUGUCCGAUUAGCUAGUUGGCGGGGUAAUGGCCCACCAAGGCGACGAUCGGUAGCUGGUCUGAGGGUAUGGUCAGCCACACUGGAACUGAGACACGGUCCAGACUCCUACGGGAGGCAGCAGUGGGGAAUAUUGGACAAUGGGCGCAAGCCUGAUCCAGCCAUACCGCGUGGGUGAAGAAGGCCUUCGGGUUGUAAAGCCCUUUUGUUGGGAAAGAAAUCCUGUCGAUUAAUACUCGGUGGGGAUGACGGUACCCAAAGAAUAAGCACCGGCUAACUUCGUGCCAGCAGCCGCCGUAAUAC